GAUGAACGCUGGCGGCGUGCCUAAUACAUGCAAGUCGAGCGAACAGACGAGGAGCUUGCUCCUCUGACGUUAGCGGCGGACGGGUGAGUAACACGUGGAUAACCUACCUAUAAGACUGGGAUAACUUCGGGAAACCGGAGCUAAUACCGGAUAAUAUAUUGAACCGCAUGGUUCAAUAGUGAAAGACGGUUUUGCUGUCACUUAUAGAUGGAUCCGCGCCGCAUUAGCUAGUUGGUAAGGUAACGGCUUACCCAGGCAACGAUGCGUAGCCGACCUGAGAGGGUGAUCGGCCACACUGGAACUGAGACACGGUCCAGACUCCGACGGGAGGCAGCAGUAGGGAAUCUUCCGCAAUGGGCGAAAGCCUGACGGAGCAACGCCGCGUGAGGGAUGAAGGUCUUCGGAUCGUAAAACUCUGUUAUUAGGGAAGAACAAAUGUGUAAGUAACUAUGCACGUCUUGACGGUACCUAAUCAGAAAGCCACGGCUAACUACGUG
rnacentral:rRNA from 1 species